rnacentral:rRNA from 1 species
CAUCUAAGCGUGAAGCCCCCCUCAAGAUGAGAUAUCCCAUAGCGCAGGCUAGUAAGACCCCUUGAAGAGUACAAGGUAGAUAGGGCAGAGGUGGAAGUGCAGUAAUGUAUGGAGCUGACUGUUACUAAUCGGUCGAGGGCAUGACCCAA